UACGUAGGGCGCAAGCGUUAUCCGGAAUUAUUGGGCGUAAAGAGCUCGUAGGCGGUUUGUCGCGUCUGCUGUGAAAUCCCGGGGCUCAACCCCGGGCUUGCAGUGGAUACGGGCAGACUAGAGUUCGGUAGGGGAGACUGGAAUUCCUGGUGUAGCGGUGGAAUGCGCAGAUAUCAGGAGGAACACCGAUGGCGAAGGCAGAUCUCUGGGCCGUAACUGACGCUGAGGAGCGAAAGCAUGGGGAGCGAACAGG
rnacentral:rRNA from 1 species